rnacentral:rRNA from 1 species
AUUGAACGCUGGCGGCGUGCUUUACACAUGCAAGUCGAACGGUAACAGGUUAAGCUGACGAGUGGCGAACGGGUGAGUAAUGCAUCGGAACGUGCCCGAUCGUGGGGGAUAACGCAGCGAAAGCUGCGCUAAUACCGCAUACGAUCUGAGGAUGAAAGCGGGGGACCGUAAGGCCUCGCGCGAUCGGAGCGGCCGAUGUCAGAUUAGGUAGUUGGUGGGGUAAAGGCCCACCAAGCCGACGAUCUGUAGCUGGUCUGAGAGGACGACCAGCCACACUGGGACUGAGACACCGCCCAGACUCCUACGGGAGGCAGCAGUGGGGAAUUUUGGACAAUGGGCGAAAGCCUGAUCCAGCAAUGCCGCGUGCAGGAAGAAGGCCUUCGGGUUGUAAACUGCUUUUGUACGGAGCGAAAAGGCCCUUUCUAAUACAAGGGGCUCAUGACGGUACCGUAAGAAUAAGCACCGGCUAACUACGUGCCAGCAGCCGCCGUAA